CGAUCCCCGCGCCACUUCGGUUUCCCGCUAAUGACCCGGGCUCUGGUUUCGGGUUGGGGAAUUGCACCCGGAGGACAGACUCGCUUCCCCAGGCCCGCACAGCCAACUCUCGCCUAGGUCCUCUUCGCGCCCGCGCGGCGGGCCCAGGAAGGUGCACCCUUUGCCUCCCAAAUGUCCCCAAAGCGUCAAGAACACCGCAGGCACAGAACCCACAGUCGGGCGCGAACUUUUUUCCUAACGCUUUUGCGCAUUGUCCACCCCAGUCCCGAACGCGGGCAUCGUUGACAAAACUUUUUUUUUUUUUAUGCCGGGACCGGGCGCCCUUCACUCGCGCAGAAGCGCCAGCUGUCUCCGGUCGUUACCUUAGUCACCCUCAACCUCCAACCCUCCCAACCCAGGCAUACAGCCGCAGUGGGAGCCUGUUAGAAGCACCAGCGCUGAAUAUGUAUCUGCCAAAUGGCGCACCCACCACCCCAACCGACACCCGGCUUCCCCCCCGCCCACCCCGCCCCCAGGGCACCCACUCCUCCAGAGCCGGCACCCUUGAGCUAAUUGGGGAUUAGUCCCAGGGCUAGGACUUCUAACAGGAAGAGAGGGCUCAGGACUUCCCGUGAAUCUCCUGAAAUCAUACGCAAGUUUGUUAUUGUGCAGAGGUGCACAUUUCUCGACGGGAUCCUACAAUUUAUCUCCGAUUCUCAGAAGUGUGUGAGCCCAAAUAAAUUAAGACCCCCCCCAUCACUCUCUGGGAACAAUACGAAAUGAGAGGAUUGGGGAACAUUUCAGGUGGUCCCUAACGAUUCUAGUCUUGGCUAAGUAGAAUUUAACUUUAGAAGAUUUCUCUCUGUGUCUCUCAGGGAAGGACGCUAUUUCCUUGCUUAUCUUAAAUAGUCUCCAGACCCCAAGGCCUCGGGCAUUGUAUAAUUUGUUGAGUAAUUAAUGAUAUUAACUUAUCAACCCAAUGGUUAUGAACAAUCAUUAUCGCCCUCCAAUGAAUUCUGUGUUAAUUUCCUGUUGCUAGGGCCACCCCCACUGGGCUAUCACAGGUAAUAAAAGGAAACCACUUUUCAUAAAACAACAUUGCUUUUUAGUAGGUGCCUCCCACCUCAAGAUCAAGGGUAAAACGAGCUACAAGGGAGUCCCCUUCAUGGAGAGAUUAUUGGGGUCCAGGUUGGGGGUUCCCUGGCCCCUGCACCCCUACACCUUCCACCUCCACAUACGUCAGGAUGACAUGUGCUAUGGACAGGUUUCACCCAUGUUUGGGUCUUCAGAAAGGCUUAGUUCUUUUCAUACCUGGUGGAAUGGGGGCUUUUUUUUUUUUUUUUUUUUUUAAUGUUUUACCCUUAUUCUUGUGAUUGCUUGGAGAGGGGUUUGAAUUUUGGAACAUCAGAGUGAAUAGUUUGGAAGGGGGUAGUUUGGGGCCUGAGAAUCACCUGAAUCUUUUCCUUGGGGCAAAAAUGAACAAGGGGGAGGCUUGGACCUCUUUCAAUGCAGGUAAUUCCCUUUCUCUUCAUUGCUCAGCAAAGCCUAGAACAAAGUAGGCAUCUACCCAAAACAUGUGUGUGGGUCAAGUUUAAAUGUGCCCAGGGAUCCCACUAAUUUGGAAGGCAGAGGUUGUAGUGGUUGCAGUGGAUGUAUUUUCUCUCUAUCAUUGUGCCCUUCUUGUGUCUCUUUCACUUUUUCUUCAGGUAAACAUACCAACCACACAUGAAAAUUCACAGACAUAAAGGAAUAGUCUAGACACUGCAGAAUGUUCAAGGGAAAAGAUAGUUAUUCCUCUUUCCUCCCCUCUGUUAAAAUAGGAUCACAGGGAAGUCCCUUGUCACUCUUAGGCCCUGACUAAAUAAAUGCCUCUGGGUGGUGCUUGGCCACUUAGGGAUGGAUUUCCUCCUGGCGUCAAGGAAAUCAAGACUGAUUUCAAACAAAAUGAUGUAAACCAAGGCUACCCUCUCCUCUCCACUGCCACCAUCCCAUCCCCAACACUUCCGUUUCAGUUCCUCGCAACAAGAAAUUCCCCCUGCCCACCUCUAUUCUACCCCAUACUUCCCUUCAAGGCAAAUCACAAAAGUAUGGAUGAUGAGGCCAAUGUUGGGGGACAGUCUGUGUCUGCCUCAUCAGCAGCUGGGGACAUGAUACCUUUUCUCUAUUUGUCAAUAAAAAGGUCAUUUCUGCACUG
rnacentral:lncRNA from 1 species